UAUAGAAUGCUAACUUUGAAACAUGUUAGGAGUUUUUCCUAACUUGCUAGGAACAACUGUCAGGGAUGUGAUGAUGGAUCGCCAGUCUUACUGUACAACUGUAAAUAUAUUCAUAAGUGUUUAUACAGUUAAAUAAUAAUAUUUGUAUAGUCACUAUAUAGACUUAGGACCAAAUAUUUAGUUUAAUGUAGUCAGUCUUAUUAUUACCCUUAAUUGCACCCUUCCUUACAUUGAGGUUAAAGAUAAUACAUCUUUUUUUUUUUUUUUGUACAUAUUUGGGUUCCUUUUGACAUCUAGAUCAAUCCCUGACCCAUGAAGAGUUUAUUCAUGUAAUUUAUAUAUUUUAAACUUCUGCUGGCUGGGUGCGCAGUGGCUCACACCUGUAAUCCCAGCACUUCGGGAGGCCAAGGCGGGUGGAUCACAUGAGGUCAGGAGUUCGAGACCAUCCUGGCCAACAUGGUGAAACGCCGUCUACUAAAAAUACCAAAAAAAUUAGCCAGGCGUGGUGGCAGGCGCCUGUAGUCCCACUUACUCUGGAGGCUGUUGCAGGAGAAUUGCUUGAACCCGGGAGGCGGAGGUUGUAGUAAGCCGAGAUCGCGCCACUGCACUGCAGCCUGGGUGACAGAGCAAGACUGUCUUACCAAAAAAAAAAAAAAAAAAAAAAAACGUUCACAAUUUUUUCUUCAUUUUCUCCCCCUGUAAACCAUCAUUUUAUCUAGAAUGAAGAUAAAUACAAAUGUAUCAUAAUACCUCCUUUGUAGACAGGGUAUACACAACCAUUUUUGAAAGACUUUAUUCCAAGCCACAUUUUUAAAGCUACGCUGUCAUCUGGUAUGCGUAGUUUUACCCUACCAUUUGAUUAAACACAAUCUAAUGCACAGAUUGACCAUCUUUCAUUUUUAUUUACAACACAUUGAGACUACUUAAUUUUUUUUGACAUUUAAGGUAUAGAACACCAUUACAACUUUUUGUUUUAGAAAAUAUUACUCCAUUACAAUAAAGGAACAAAGCCAUUAGUGAAUCCAAGUAAAUUUUAGUUACAAAGACAUACUCAAAAUGUUUUUCAUCCUCUUCCCUCCACAACUCAAUUUCUUUUUAAAACAAAGUGUGAUAUUUCCAAUGUAUAGGAGCCCCACUUAAACAACUGGUGUUUUAUUAUCAUUUCAUUCAAGCAGCCUACCAAUCCUUUUUAGUGUAGAGGAUAGCCUUCUUAAUUUUUUUUUUUUUUUUUUUUUUUUUUUCGCUCUUGUUGCCCAGGCUGGAGUGCAAUGGCUCGAUCUCAGCUCACUGCAACCUCCACCUCCCAGGUUCAAGCAAUCCUCUUGCCUCAGCCUCCUGAGUAGCUGGGACUACAGGCACCCGCCACCAUGCCAGCUAAUUUUUUAUAUUUUUAGUAGAGAUGGGGCUUCACUGUGUUAGCCAGGAUGGUCUCGAUCUCCUGACCUCCUGAUCGGCCCACCUCAGCCUCCCAAAGUGCUGGGAUUACAGGCGUUGAGUCACUGCGCCCAGCCGAAAAAUGUCUUCUAAGUUUAAAUCCUCUGAUCCUAGGAGCUGAGACCAUAAUUACAAGGCCACAUAAUAAAAUAACAUUCAUGGUAAAGGAAGUAUUUCCUUUUACUAUAUACUAAUACAUAUAACAAACAACGACCCAUUGAGUAAGAGGUCACCUAGCCUCUUGAUCCUAGGCAAAUAGAGAUAUUCCCAUCCAUCUGUAUAAUCAUGAGACUGUAACACAACCUGAGAUUAUUAGCAGUAUUUUUUUAAAAUACUACAAGUCAUACUAUUACCCAAUGAAGACUCUUAGUGGAGAUUGUCUUUUAUCUAUUAUGUUGCUCUGGUCAUAACUGUUGUUACAGUUAUUAAACAGUUAAUUAACAGUCCCUUUGCUUAACUUGUAAAGUUUUUCCUUUCCAUCCUAGCCUCAAGAAAUUUAUCUGAUUAGAUUUCCCAAUAGUAAAGGGCUGUAACACUUUCACACCCCUUUCCACAGUAAAAACAGUAGUAAUUAAAAAGUUUAAAAUGUAGUUCAGGUAAACAUCUCAGCAAAGUGUCAAAUGAGUGCUUCCUCAGCAUUUAAAAGAAGAGACUAUGUUCAGCAAUAGUCAGGAGAAUGAGAGAAUUUCAAAGAGGCAUUAAGGAUGAAUACAGUAUUGAUAAGUUUUGGAAGAACUUUUUCUAUAGGAAAAAUGGUGGCUGGGCGCGGUGGCUCACGUCUGUAAUCCCAGCACUUUGGGAGGCCGAGGCGGGCGGAUCACAAGGUCAGGAGAUCGAGACCGUCUUGGCUAACACGGUGAAACCCCGUCUCUACUAAAAAUACAAAAAAUUAGCCGGGCGCGGCAGCGGGCGCCUGUAGUCCCAGCUACUCGGGAGGCUGAGGCAGGAGAAUGGCGUGAACCUGGAAGGCGGAGCUUGCAGUGAGCCGAGAUUGUGCCACUGCAAUCCGGCCUGGGCUAAAGAGCGGGACUCCGUCUCAAAAAAAACAACAACAAACAAACAAACAAAAAAAACAACAACAAAAAAAGAAAAAUGGUAUCAGCAAAGGGUUGAACUAUAGCCCUGUAUGGAAAUGAGCAAGCAGUGGCUGAUAAGAGACUUUGCAUAGAAAACAAGGAAAAAAGGUAAACGAUAAUAGCCACUCAGAAUAAAGCAAUGAACAGAAUAAAAAUUUUAAAAACUCUGCUUGUAUGUAGCUUACAUUCUAGUAAACAAGUAAAACACGUAAGUCAG
rnacentral:lncRNA from 1 species